GGACCUGACUGCUAUCGGAUUGAUACUAAGCCAUGCGAGUCUUUGCAGUAAUGCAAGGCAUACGGCUCAGUAACACGUAGUCAACUUACCCUAUGGACGAGGAUAAUCUCGGGAAACUGAGCAUAAUACUCGAUAGAUCAUAAUGCCUGGAAUGGUUUAUGGUUGAAAUGAUUCGUCGCCAUAGGAUGGGACUGCGGCCUAUCAGCUUGUUGGUGAGGUAAUGGCCCACCAAGGCGAUUACAGGUACGGGCUCUGAGAGGAGAAGCCCGGAGAUGGGUACUGAGACAAGGACCCAGGCCCUAUGGGGCGCAGCAGGCGAGAAAACUUUGCAAUGUGCGAAAGCACGACAAGGUUAAUCCGAGUGGUUUCUGCUAAAGAAACCUUUUGUCAGUCCUAGAAACACUGAUGAAUAAGGGGUGGGCAAGUUCUGGUGUCAGAC
rnacentral:rRNA from 1 species